rnacentral:rRNA from 1 species
UACGGAGGGUGCAAGCGUUAUUCGGAUUCACUGGGUUUAAAGGGUGCGUAGGCGGGCAGGUAAGUCAGUGGUGAAAUCUCCGGGCUUAACCCGGAAACUGCCGUUGAUACUAUCUGUCUUGAAUAUCGUGGAGGUAAGCGGAAUAUGUCAUGUAGCGGUGAAAUGCUUAGAUAUGACAUAGAACACCCAUUGCGAAGGCAGCUUACUACACGAUCAUUGACGCUGAGGCACGAAAAGCGUGGGGGAGCAAACAGG